rnacentral:rRNA from 1 species
GUGAGGAAUAUUGGACAAUGGAUGGAAAUCUGAUCCAGCCAUGCCGCGUGCAGGAAGACGGCCCUAUGGGUUGUAAACUGCUUUUAUACGGGAGCAAUAAGGUCUAUGCAUAGAUUGAUGAGAGUACCGUAUGAAUAAGCAUCGGCUAACUCCGUGCCAGCAGCCGCGGUAAUACGGAGGAUGCGAGCGUUAUCCGGAUUUAUUGGGGUUAAAGGGUGCGUAGGCGGCUUUGUAAGUCAGCGGUGAAAUUUUGCAGCUUAACUGUAAAAGCGCCGUUGAUACUGUGAAGCUAGGAUUUGGUUGCUGUGGGCGGAAUGUGUGGUGUAGCGGUGAAAUGCAUAGAGAUCACACAGAAUAUCGAUUGCGAAGGCAGCUCACAAAGCCAAUAUUGACGCUGAGGCACGAAAGUGUGGGGAUCAAACAGGAUUAGAUACCCUUGUAGUCC